rnacentral:rRNA from 1 species
AAAAGCUUUCUUUAAUUGAAUAAUUGAAUUUAAUUUUUUAGUGCAAAAGCAAAAAUAAAAAUUAGGGACAAGAAGACCCUAUGAAUUUUUUAUUAAAUUUUAUAAAACUUUAUAUAAAAUUUAAUUUAAUUGGGGUGAUGGAAAAAGAAUAAAUAUCUUUUUUUUUAAAGAAAAUUGGUUCCGUUUUUAGCGAUUAAAUGAAAAAAAUACUCUAGGGAUAACAGCGUAAUAAUUUUGGAUAGUUCAUAUAGAUAAAAUAGUUUGCGACCUCGAUGUUGGAUUAGGAUUCUUUUUUGGUGAAGAAGUUAAAAAAAGAAGUUUGUUCAACUUAUAAUUUCCUACUUGAUCUGAGUUCAGACCGG